UUUUUUUUUUAGCAUGGUUCAAACUUGAGUGGUCGACUGUAAUGGGCCAAAGCCCACAAUACUCGUGCUUCGAGGCUCUCUAGUUAUGUGUGACAGUGUGAGUGACUGUGGUCGUAUUCCAGCUAUCUUUUCUUUUCUUUGAAUUUGGCCUCUUUUGUUUUUCUCUCUUAUCCUCCUUUGCUUCUGCUUUCAAUGUUCUUAAUUCUCGCUUUUAUGUAAACUUCUUUUCAGUUAAAACAAGCACCGUCACAGUGAUGUACAAGUAGCAUUCUUUAGACGAAUUACAAAAUCAAUUCGAAUGAUGUGUGUUGUCGCCCUUCCUUAGAGAUUCUUUUAUAGAUCGGACGUAUAUAUAGAGAUAGGUGCACUUAAAGGCAAUUUAAUUUAGGGUUACAGUCCCGGUCAAAUUAUAUUGCUUAAUUUGCUUGUAAGUUGUAAUAGUACUUUUGGGAAUGAAACUAUAAGGAUAUAUAUGUUAGCAAGUUUCGCCCUCCUCUCUUGUAGUCAUUUUAAGUUAUACUCAGAUGUCUCACUAGUUUAAAUGGCUUCAACCUUUGAGUUUCGUUUUAGAGAUAAUCAACCGUUAAACACUAUUGCCAAAUUUUCUAGUUCUGAUUCAUGUAUCUUUAUUACCAAUAUCUUCCAUUAUUCCAUCAAAACAAUCCAAACACUGUGCAAUCAUUAAAAUUAAAAAAAAUAAAUCCCGCUCAAAUACGUACAAUAGUCAUACAUUCAAAAAAAAAAAAAAAAAAAAAAGAUGAACUAGAUAGGAUGUCUAAAAUUUUAUUCACAUUAUAUACCUAAGCUAGGUGUAAUAUAUUGAACUUUAGACCAUCCAAUAUCCUUUAACCUUUCUCACAAGAAAGUUGAGCAUGACAUCCAUAAUAACAAAAGGUUAGUUUUAAACUUUAAAAUGAUCUAAAUGUAUGUACGCACUCAAACCCAACACAUAUUCAAUUCCUUAACCCUUAAGCCAAAUAACCAAUAAUCUUCUUAUAAUAAAGUUAACUAAUUAAAUCAUUCAACUUGUACAUAAAAAGGUGUUAGCCGAUUCAUUUAGUUAGGACAAAAAAAAACAACAGAUCAAAUAAUAAUGGAAGAUAAUUCAAGUACCAAAGAAAGAUUAUCCCAUGUAAGCUCUUCAAUAACACACAAAAUAGGAGACUUCUUUCAUUGUUUACAUCUUCCAAGGUCUCUAACAGUGCCAGCAAUAAUACUAGGUUGUCUUCUCUUGCUUCUCUUAUGUUGUUGCUGUUGUUCCAAAAGAUCUGAAAGACCUCCUAGGAUGAUGAUGGUUAAGCAAUAAGUAAGCUAGCUAGCUUUGCUGCUUUCGAGCCGGGGUUUGAUUUUCUAGAUGCAAGCUCUGAUGGAAUGACUGGCCGAAGGACACAAGGCAGAGUUUUGAAAUAGGCUAUGGGUUCACGACUUUGUGUCUCCCCAUAGUUAGGAGGAUCUAGCAAUAUGGUAAUAGUAAGGGAUUAUCAUAUAAUAAUUUUAGGUAUUUUUCAUAUGUACAAAUGAAUAGCAUUUGUUUUGGGUCAUUAAUUUUGUUUUAUUAUGGUUCAUCUAGGUUCAGAUUGGAAAUUCCCUAGUAUCUUGUACUUUGAUCAUGCAUAUAUAGGCAUAUAGAUAGCCAUUUUGUAUUAGAUGAUAUGAAAAAAAGAAGGUGGUCUAUAUAUAAUUAAUUGAAGUACUUGUAUAUGUUAGUAGGCUGUAUCAAUGAGUGUAGAUAAAGGUUUCAUGAAUUAAGAUGAAUCAUAUAUCGAGUAAUUAAUUCGAAUUAA